AGGCAUUGAUAAUAAUUAGUCUCUGUGGAAUACGACCUUGCUUGCUACUGUAAACAAUUGCACCCGUACACUUGCGGCGUGUUAAAUAAAAUAGCGAACAAGUUUUUGGCGCUGUUGCCGGGGACUGAUUUUUAUCAGUACUAUCUGUUGAUUGUUUGAGACUAAUCUGGAUUUUUUUUCUGUUAUUUUUUUUUUCUUUAUUUUUCCUGCGGUUCUGAUUCUUGUGUUUGGAGCUUUCCAGGUAG
rnacentral:lncRNA from 1 species